GCGACCAGUGAUGAGGACUUCUCCCACUCGUGUUCGAGUUUUCCUACUAUGAGAUAACUCUACAUGCACUACCAUCUGAGGCUAC
ensembl:snoRNA SNORD33 Small nucleolar RNA Z195/SNORD33/SNORD32 family